UAGUCCAUGCCCUAAACGAUGAAUGUUAGUCGUCGGUAUGCUCGUCAUAUCGGUGAUGCACUUAACAGAUUAAACAUUCCGCCUGGGGAGUACGGUCGCAAGAUUAAAACUCAAAGGAAUAGACGGGGACCCGCACAAGUGGUGGAGCAUGUGGUUUAAUUCGAAGAUACGCGAAGAACCUUACCUAGCCUUGACAUUGAUUGAAUUCUUUAGAGAUAGAGAAGUGCCCUUUUGGGAACAUGAAAACAGGUGCUGCACGGCUGUCGUCAGCUCGUGUCGUGAGAUGUUGGGUUAAGUCCCGCAACGAGCGCAACCCUCGUCACUAGUUACUAACGGUUUGGCCGAGGACUCUAGUGAGACUGCCUUCGCAAGGAGGAGGAAGGUGAGGACGACGUCAAGUCAUCAUGGCCCUUACGGCUAGGGCUACACACGUGCUACAAUGUUAGGACAAUGAGAAGCAAUACUGCGAAGUGGANCAAAUCUAUAAACCUAUCUCUACGG
rnacentral:rRNA from 1 species